rnacentral:tRNA from 1 species
GGGCUUGUAGCUCAGCGGUUAGAGCAGGCGACUCAUAAUCGCUUGGUCGCGGGUUCAAAUCCCGCCGAGCCCA